AUUCAAAUUCUACAUAUCGAGUUAUCUGCACAACUACGAGGGUUGGUCUCUUCACCCCACCAGAGCCUCUGGCAACUCAGGGACGAACAACAACAAGCAAAGGAAUGCCAUGCGGUCAGCACCAUUCACCCCUCUGGCGAGAAAGGCUAGUUCCCCACACCGUUCCUUUUUCUCCAACAAAUUACAGGGCAGCCUUGGCCUGUCCCCUCACCAUCUUGUUGUUGAUUCAUUGACUGGUCCCGUCUGAGGCAAGGUGGGACAGGAUCCAGACACUCCAACCAUGUUCCCAUCGUCCAACCACAGAUCCACAAGGCUACUUAACUUACUUAGACAAUUAUUUGUGUAUAUCGGUCUAAUUUGACAUCUUUAAUAGUCUUUUGAUCACUUGUUAAUUAAUCUUUCUAAUGGAAUUAUUGUUUAUCUGGUUUUUAGUUUUGGUUGAACUACCACCCACUUCAUCCAACUCUCUAUUUCCAAAUACCAAGAUUAUACAAGAGCAGUUUUUUGGGGGGAUGUGUUAAAUAUAGUAUAUCCAGGAUACCUGAUACGUUAGGAUAUGUCCUAUGGAUUCUUUGUAAAUCCGGUUUGUACAUUUUAUGUUUAAUCAGUUAGUGUUUCAUAGUUCUUUUUGUGUUCAUCAUUUGUUUCCAUUGUUCUUUUUAAUUGUCAGUAAGUAUCCACUGGAGGGCGCCAACUACAAGGGUAUAUCUGAUGUCUGAGGUUUCAGUGCUGAGAUUUACUGGUCAAUGUUGUUUCAUUGUUCUCGCUGUCUUGUAAUGGUCACCGGUAUUUUUUAAUCUAUAAACGUGCGUGUUGGUUUGUCUUUUUUGUAUAGGAUAAUAUAUUUUAUUAAUCUUAAAUGUGUUGGUAAUGUUCCAAAUGUACUAUUUGAAUAAAUACCUGAAAUAUG